rnacentral:rRNA from 2 species
CCCCCUCCGAGAUAAGAUCUCCGUUUAAGGGCCGUGGGAGACUACCACGUCGAUAGGCGGGAGGUGCAAAGCCGGCGACGGCAAAGCCGACCCGUACUAAUGGCCCGUAGGUUUC